CAGUCGCACGGUAACACGGAGGGGGCUAGCGUUGUUCGGAAUUACUGGGCGUAAAGCGCACGUAGGCGGCUUGGUAAGUUAGAGGUGAAAGCCUGGAGCUCAACUCCAGAAUUGCCUUUAAGACUGCCGAGCUAGCAGGUGAGAGAGGUAAGUGGAAUUCCGAGUGUAGAGGUGAAAUUCGUAGAUAUUCGGAAGAACACCAGUGGCGAAGGCGGCUUACUGGCUCAUACUGGACGCUGAGGUGCGAGAGCGUGGGGAGCAAACAGGAUUAGAUACCCCGGUAGUCCCUGUCUCUUAUACC
rnacentral:rRNA from 1 species